rnacentral:tRNA from 1 species
GCCGCUUUAGCUCAGUAGGUAGAGCAUUUCCAUGGUAAGGAAAAGGUGCUGAGUUCAAAUCUCAGAAGCGGCU